GUGGCAACCCGCUCCGGUGUCCUUCCAUGCUGUGGAGGCUCUGUUGUUUCGCUCUUUCUACUGCUUACUCUUCGGGUCCACACUGCUUUUAUGAGCUGUAACACUCACCCUGAAGGUUUGCAACUUGACUCCUGAAGCCAGCAAGACCACGAGCCCCAGGGAGGAACGAACAACUCCAGACGCGCUGCCUUAAGAGCUGUAACACUCACCGAGAAGGUCUGCAGCUUCACUCCUGAGCCAGCGAGGCCACGAACCCACCAGAAGGAAGAAACUCUGAACACAUCCGAACAUCAGAAGGAACAAACUCCAGACGUGCCACCUUAAGAGCUGUUAACACUCACCGCGAGGGUCCGCGGCUUCAUUUUUGAAGUCAGUGAGACCAAGAACCAACCAAUUCGGGACACAAUACCAACUCUUUCAUGCCAGGAGAAGCCUCCUUAAAAAAUUUCGGUGAUUAACAGGUAAAUAUCACUUACCACCUGUGCUAAACUUACCAGUUAUUACGUAUACUACAGGAUAUUCUGCUGAAAAUAUGGGCAAAUAUAGGUGUGUAAAAAGUCCCAGUAUUAGUGGGGUGGGGAACAGAGAAUCUAUGGCUGGUGAUCACACCUGAAGCUACUAUGUGCUUAUUCCUGCUGGCUGACGUUUGCUGUGUGGCAAGUGCCUCUGUUCCUAAACACCAUACUCUUCCUGAAAUCUCUAACAUGCUCACAUCCGAUUUCCAGGUAGAAGGAGUUAGGCAUGCAAGCAUCAUGAUUUUCUCAGCUAAGUGUUGACAUGUCCCUAAAGUCUUCAGACAAUUUUCUGUUCCUGUAAAUGUUCCUCACCUAUUACUCAUGACAACUGUCCUCCUUUCAUCCUCUUUAAGCUCUGCUCAAAGAAACCACUCAAAAGAAAUUUUCAUGAAAUCAACUCACCAGGCAGAGAGUACCAGAGUACGCUGUGAGCUGGAUCGGGGACAGCCUGUUUUGUCACCAUUGUUUCAUUAGCAUCUAGUAGAGUUCUCGGUGCAUAUGUGCUCUAGGCACACUUAAGAGAGAAAAAAGAAAUAUAUGCUCAGACCCUAUUACACACACUCAAAUAAAACAAAUUUCUUUAUUCAUUUUAAUAGUUUCUAAAUAUCAUUAUACUCUUCUAUUAGUAGGAUAAUCUUCAGAAAAUCAGAACUAAAAAGGCAUUAUUAGGAUUUAUUUUUAGAGUUUAUAGUAUGAGUGUUUUUUAAAUUUCUCAUUCUCGCUCCUUUGCUUUCUAUUUACUAUUUGUUGAGUAUUUAUUAUAUGUAAGAAAAACUAUACUAAGUGUUGUGGAUUUCAUAAAUUUAGUAUUUAAAUUUCCUGAAGAUUCCAAUAAAGGCUUUCUCUUUUCUUUGAACAAACACACUUAACCACCCCCUAAAAAUCCACUGAGUAGUGUUUAUACUGUCUUAAUCUUUUCAGAUGCUAAAAGCAACAUAUUCCUAAGCUGAGACAUUCUCUACAGUAAAACAUAAUUUUUCCCAAUUAUAAGAAAUUUAAGAGAUGUUAGGGAAGAAACUAUAAAGACGUAUUUUAUAUCCAGAAAAGCUAGAUGUUUUCCAUUUUAGUUGAUGUUAUAUAUUCUGGGCACAUUCCUGGACUGAAAAACAGAAGUAUACUACAUUUCUAAGACACAUUCCCCAAAACAGCUUUACAUAGAAGUUCCUGUGAUCCUAAUUACAACCCUAUCAAGUAGGUGGGUGGGUAUUAAUAGAUCACUUGGGGGUAUGAAAAUCAUAGUGCAGACAUACUGAAUGACUUCUCCAGCAUCAACAGGGAAGUAACAACAGCCUCUUUGGAAGGUAGCCCAGUACAAAGGAUUUGAGAGUCAUAAAACCUGGGUUUGAAACUGUGAUUUGGUGAAAUUACUUAAUAUAUCUCUCUCUCUCUCUUUCCCCAUAAAAAAGAAAUUAGGUUGAACCAUUUGAAAUUUCCAAUAUGCAACAUUUUCGACCUACAAAAAUGGCAAUUUCAUGAGGUUCAACCUCAUAAUAAUGUUAACACUUAAAAGAGUUGUUCUAAAUGUAAAACCCAAUACUAUAUUUAAAGCAUCUAGCACGGAGCCUGGAAUAGAGAAGUGCUAGACAAAUGCUAGUUCUUUUUGUCCUUCCAGUGUCAGUCCUACAGCAUCAGCACAAUUCUGUCACUCAUGUCUCAGCCAUUCCUUGUAAGAUUUUAGACAAUGUAAAAUACAUUAAGUGUAUUUUAUUUUAUAAUAUAUUCACUAAAAUAUCAAUACAUUUUGAAAUUUCAGGAGGUAAGAGAAAAACAAGCAGGUGUGUAAUUACUGCUGAUUUUGUAGCUUAAUUCAGCAGUGCAAAGAUUUUCCUGUCUACUUCCAAGCAGGGACAUACCUGUCUUGAGCUUACACAUUCACAGUAGUCUCAAAACCUAAACCAGGAGACUCUAGGCUUGCUUUUGGUUGCAGUUUAAUAAUACUGUGGAUUAGUAGCCAAACAUUUCUUUGAAACAUUCAGUAAGAGCUAGGCAAUACAGAUCUGGUGUCUGGGUCUUCCAGGAAACUGACAAUUUUAGGAAAGCCAUGGAGGGGGGGAAAAUGAAACAAGGUAAAGAGAAAGCUGUAAAAUGAAGUUGAUGCAGUACUGGACAAACCCAACACCCAAAAUUUUCAGUUUCCAUGUUCCUGCAUUGUCCCUACCUUCAUCCUUAAGAGUUUCAAGAGACCAAAUGAUCCAAAGAGCUAAGGACCCUGGAUCCAAGAAUACUGUUUUCCGUCUGGUAAGGACACAUUUUUUUUUUUUUAAUCUGUGAGCUCAACUUCCAAAGGGCAUUUAAAUCAAUGAGAAAAGAAACAGACUAUCCAGGGAAAUCAAUUCUAAUAAUCAAUCGGGUAACAAAGGUCUAGCCAUUUAUAUUCAUAAAAGUAAUUAGGAGUCUUGAGCGUUUAAGAACAUGAAUGUUUUUGUUAAAGGAAAUGUACAUUAAUUUUCAUAUUAAUUCAUCUAAAACACAGAUCUUGCUUUUGUUGAAAUUAUUUUCCCUCUUUCACUUUUUACCUCCUUUCUCCAUGAGCAUUCAUUCCUAUGGACUUGCUACAGUAUACUAGUCACAGAGCCAUCGGUCAUUAAAUAACUAUUUACUGAUUCUCCUACUUGUACUCACUAUUUUACAGGCCAGAUAAACAUUAAAGAAAACUUUUGUAAUGCUUCCUGAUGUCUUUUUUAUCCCCUUCCGUUAAACAAGAAUCUCAGGGUUUUAUAAGCUUGCAAUAUCCUCCAACAACGGUUGCCUAAUCAUCUGUUGCUAAAUCAAAGCUUGAUGAGAUGAGCAGAUAAAAAUACAAUCAGGGUGUGGUUAUAUUUCCCUCAGCAGAGGCCUCAUAUUGCACCACAUUUGAAGAAGUAAUAGACAGUGAUUUUGUAGGCUGUCUCAGGCUCAGCUCAUGUUCUGUUUGUGAUAAUUAGAACUUGUGAACCUCAAGAAUGAGCAAGAGUUCUUUUUGCUUACUUCUGCUGUCCACACAACCAAAGGUCUAUCUUCUUAUAUACGAAUAGCAAGGAGAGCGGCCUUUGGAGACUGUGUGAAGCCAAUCAAAUAGGAAAGGCUCAUUUAUAGCAUAGUUUUCAGCAUGCUUCUAAACUAGUAGCUGUUCAGAACCUGGAAGAAUAUGAAUCAAAUUGCAUAUUUUGAAUUGUACUAGUCUGAAUCGACUCAUUACUAUGAAUCUUGCAAAUGUUCCCUUAAGCAAUGAGGAAGGAGGAAAUAUAGAAAGUAAAUCUACUUAGUAAUAUAAAAGGCAAUACUAGCAAGGCCACACUCUCAAAGAAAUUAAUCGGUAAGUAUUGAUUUUUUACACUGUGUGAAGUUCCCAUCCAUGCAAACGACAACAAGGCCCUGUUGUUUGACAAACCAUUUAUUCAGGAUCAUUGGUAUCGACUUGUAGUGAGUCAACAAAAGUAGGGAGUUCACAUAUUUUUUCUUCAUUCAAUAGAAAAUACUGUGUCUCCUUGGCAACUGAGAUUGCUUGGUUGACUUUUCCCUUUGCUUUCUACUUACAAGGUACAAACAAUGAAGGAGUCCCACCACCUGUGACUUGGGUUCAGAAACAGAUUUCUCUGCCUCAAAUCACUGAAAUAACCCACUUUGUGUGAGGGCGCAAUUCUGUGCUUUAUUAGAUGUAUAUAGCAUCUUUAUGGUCAAGUCUCAGACAAAUGAUAAAAAGUAAUUCAAAUAUAGAAAGUAGUUUUUAAUGCCUGAGUUAUGAUUUCCUCAUUCGGAGGCUCCUGAAAUGCAAGUGAAUAAGAAUUAUCACUCUUAACUAGCAAACAAUACACUUUAUUUUCAAACAUAAUCAACUUAUGUAACGAAACAACUGAGUAAAAACAUAAACACUUUUUCCCCAUUAGGUAGAGUUUUCUCAGAACUCUGGAGUUGUGAAAAUGACCCUAAGCUCAAGCAAAGAGGUGUAGAGUUACAUCUCUCUUUCUACAUUGGCAUUGGUGAUUAAAAGAAAUCAGGAUGAGCAGAUGGUGCCUAAGGUACAAAUCUUGAAUAUCCACUUUUCUGGAGAUAGAAUAUCAAGUGCUGGUGUCGUCUCCCACCUCACCAUUGCUGCUUUUCUCCCACUUCAUUGAUCUAUCUCCUCCAUGUCAGGCCCAUGUGAGAGCUGAGGGCUUGGUUUCCUCUGAUAGAAAGAAGACAAAUACAGUUGACCUGGGGCUGUAGAACCAGAGGAUUUGCAAAGGCAUUAUUGCAAUCAAUAUCCAAUCACAUCAGUUUCCUUGUAUAUGUGCUACAGAGCAGUUCCCACUCUGUAGGUCUUUUGCUGGGUCACAAUUUGAUGUUUCAUCUUUAUACUCUAGGAAACAAGUGGACUCAUGAAUUUGAAGGGUUUUGUCUUCCUCUCUUAGAGUGGUCCUCUUACUCCUCUUCUCAUUGGCCCCUAAUUUUAUUCCACCUGUGGAGACACUCCAGAAUCAAGCCUCGGGUUAUACUGGGUAGCUGACUGUGCAGAUAGGACAAAUCAUGAUUUGUAAUCUUCCUUCACUGGUACCCUGCUCAAAUACCAACACUCGUGUGCUUCCUAUUGUUGAAGGUUUCACUCUGUAAUACUAAGGGCAGUAUUUGCUCCUGUACUAGGUUCAACAGUGUCCUUCAAAAAUUCAUGUGCACCCUAAACCUCAGAAUGGGAUCUUAUUUGGAAAUAAGAGUCUUUGUGUAUGCAGUUAGUUAAAUAUAAGUUUACUCUGGAUUAGAGUCAACCUAUUAAGGACCUUAUAAGAGGAGAGGACACACAGAGACAUAGAAAAGAAAACAGUGUGACAACUGAGACAGAGACUGGAGUGACGCUGCCGCAACCACUUUCUUGCUAGGAAGAGGAAAGAAAGGAUUCUUCCCUAGCGUCUUUAGAGGGGAGACAGCUCUGCCAACACCUUAAUUUUGAACUUCUCAUUUCCAGAAUAGUGAAAAAAUUAAUUUAUGUUGUUUAAGCCAUUCAAUUUUUUGUUUGUUUUACUUUCAUUUACUUAAUCUAUUUAUUCAUACUACAUAGAUAAUUAUUUACUUUUUCUUUUUAUUAGUGAUGUCCUCUCACAAGAACUUAAGCUUCAGGAAAGCAAGGAUAUUUGUGUGUGUGUAUGUGAGUGUGUGUUUGUAUGUGUGUGUAUGUGUGUGUGUGGUUUAUUUCUAUACUCUCAGUGCCUAGAAUAGUGCCUGUCAUGUUAGAUGCUUAAUUAACGUUUUGAAAUGAAUGGAAGGACAGGUAGAUUACCUAUAUCAAAGCUCUUCAUAGAACAUUCAAUUCCAGAAGAUAAUGGAUAAAUAAGGGGAAAUAUGGGACCCAAUAAUUUUAUCCUCAGCCCAUUCAUGUAUAAAAGCAAUAGGAAAAGAUUGUUAGAUGUGAAUGAUCUCAGAAAAUAUAACAUGCAUGACCAUGUUUUGAAAACCUUCCUGAUAACAAAAUUUACCCAACUAAGAUGUGGUUCACAGUACAGAGCUUAAGAAUGUGGAAGCUGCUUUCUGAAAAAACUAAUAAAGUAAACAUUAAUUCCCUUCUAAUUAUGGCUAAGGCAAAAAAAAGAACUAUUAAUAUGGCUUUAAAUUUAUCAAAAAGAAUGCAAAUGUUAUAAAUUAUUAAGAAAAGCUGUACAAUAGAAAAAGCAAUAAGUAUUAUAAAUUUGGUCAGUAGUUUUAGAACAUAAUAGUAAAAAUCAGAAGGAACAAGAUUGUCCUGUGUUCGUAAUUUUUCACUCUGGGAGACUAAAUUUUGUUGCCAAAAAUCCUCUCAUACAACAUUGGUAGUAGUGAAAAUUUGUUAAAUCCUGUGAGAGGACAAUUUGGCAAUAUCCAUAAACUGUUAAAAUAUAUACGAAAAUUGAUUGCAAAAAUUAUUCUAGUUUUUCACACUGACGCUAAAUGCCCUACCACACAUACCUUGGAUUCAAGUUUGCUGGGGCCAAUGGAAUAGUAGCAAAAGACACAAGAGACUUGAAGAAACAUUUACAUGUUCCACCUCCUUUCCGUGGCCCUCAGUCUCACCAUGAAAACAUGCCCAGGAUGGGCUUCUAGGAGAAAUCCUGAGGCUUUCUAGGCCAGCCAACAGUUAGUCAACCCCCAAAUGUAUGGGAGAACCCAGCUAAGAUCAGCAGCAACACCUAGCCAACCCACAGCUUACUUACAGCAGACAUGUGAAUCAAUCUAGCCAAGACUAAAAGAAUCACUAAACCAAUAUGUCAUCCUAUGAAUAAUAGUAAACGUUUGUCUUAAACUAUCAUAUUAUAGGAAAAAAACCUGAUAUAUGAAAUUACCCUGUGAGUUUAUAUUAAAGAUACACUUACCUUCUCCAACAAGAGUUGUAACAAUUUUUUUCUUAUUGCAAACAAUGCUAUGGGGAUACUUAUAGUAGCAUUUCUGCUCAACGUAAUAUUUUAUUGUAGCACUGUUUGCAAUAAGAAAAUAAUUGGAAACUGCAGAAACGAUCACUAAUGAGGUAUGGGUUAAAAAUCUUUUAAGUUGAAAGCAACAAAUGUGACAAUUAAAAGGCAUAAAUUAGACAUAUAUUUUACAUUAUCACAACUUGUAUUACUAAAUGAUAAAAAUGAGUUGCAAAAUAAUAUAUAGAACUUUAUAUUUUAUAAAUAUGCACAUGAAAAAAUGUUUGUAAGUAUGCACAAACUGUUAACAGUUAUUACUUCAGAGGAGUGAAAAAUAGGUUGAAAAUGAGAAUGACUUUCAUUUUUAGUAUACUUAAGUACAUUUUCAAUUUUCAAUUAUAUGCAGUGAUUUUGUCCUUUAAAAAAUAGGAUGGACUUUUUUAAAUAUAAGGAAGACAUUUUCUGUGAAACAAUAAAUUACUCAGUAUAUACUUAAUGUGCAUGAAGUAUGAGGUAGGAAUACAUCCACUGACAUUCUUGCAUUUGCAUACCACUUCCCCAAAUAUGAACUCACUUCUCUGACUUUGCUAGGGCUGAGGAAUCAUCAUUACAAUAUCUGUAAAACUGGAUUUAUUAAGUGCAUCCAUAUUGUUUAUGAGUCAUAGAAAAUAUGUUCAUUUUCCUAUCCAUGUUAAAGGCUGCUUGGAGGAUUGACGGAGCAUUGCUUAGAAAAUGUUCUGGAAUUCAGAUGAAGCUGUGUUAGUAUAAAUCAUUACUGGUUACCAUAUACUCACACAUACUUAGGGGAUAAAGAUCAGAAAUUACUUAAAUGUACUUUGUCUUCUUCAAUCUUUCCGUAGCAGCACAUGGGUCAAAAUCUCCUGAAAGUUGAGCAGGGGAGCUGUAGAAGAAUUCCUCCUUUUCUCGCAGAUGAAAUCUUAUGAUAUAGCAGGGGUUACCUGGCCAAGAAGGUAAGUCUGUCAUCCAGCAGUGCUUGCAGAGGGACUAAAAUGAAUUAGGAUGUUCAGAGUUGUAUGUUAGGUGCUGCAGAAAGGAAGAAAAGAUCUCAUCCAUAAAGGGGUCUUUGACCCUGGGGAAUGGCAGUUGGCAAUUACGCUGCUUCUCAGUUCCAUCCUGUGUUGCCCCAGGUUUACUUCAUGGUCACCCAAACUUUCUUUGCCAUGUCUUUUGUAAGACUUCUACUUAUUACUAUGUAUCAUCAUCUUUUGGUAAAUAUAAAUUCUGGCUAGGAGAACUAGGACAGACAGGGGAGCUGUCUGCACACUGUGAUUAGGCAUGCAUCAAUUCAGAGCUCCAUGCUGCUAGCUCCUGUAUUCUGCUGAGCUCCCAGGGAGGAAAUAGGAAAAGGGAGGAGAACUCACCUGUCCAAUUACAACCUACUCUGCAGUACAAAGUACUGCAAAUUCCACACAGUGGAUCUCUGUGAUUGAAGGAGCACUUGUAAAAUCUGAGACAUCCUAGUUUUUGAUUUGGUAUCCAAAACAAAUCUGAACUUUUAAUUAAAUAUUGUUCUUUUUCCUUCUUGUUUCCAAAUGAAUAGUUACACCAGCAAACUUAUUGGCUGAAAAGUUGUUUCCUACAUUUGCACUUUGAAGUGCAUCAGACAGUGGUGUGUUUGGAUGUGGGUCUUGUUGAGUUUGGUUAGUGAGUUAUUAUUGGUUGGGAUUGCAGUGGUCCUGCCAAUGGAAGAGAAGUAGGUGUGCCGAGUACUGUCAUGUUCACCUCCGCCUUUCACAGAGGCAUAUUUAGCCCUCAGUUGGUAAGUGAACUUUUUGACAAAGGUUUAAGAGGUCGUAGAGUCUGUGUAAAAGACAAAAGUCCAAAAGUGAAGCAGAAGGAAUCCAGCUUCUUAUUUAUGUCUGGCAUGGGAAGCUUCUGGAUUUGAUAGUGGGUGCACCGAAAUUUGCAUCCCAAGUCAUAGCCUUUGCUCUGCCCUACCUUCUGGUAUGUUGUUUUUCAAGUUACUUAACCUCUCAGGGCUGCAACUUACUUAUUUGAAAAAUGAAUUCUAGAAUCACAGAGUUGGAUACAAUCUUAAGGGCCAAUUAGUCAAACUUUCUUUCCAGAGGUAUUCUGCAUGAUCUGAAAUGUGUCUCUGAACUAUAGCUUCCUGAAAUUUCAUUAUUCUUGUAGGAACACAGAGGAGAACAAAGAAAAUUCAAGGAACUAAAUUCCUUCUCCACCUCAACCACCAGCAUUGAUACUCCAUCACUUAUGUACUGCAUCAAGCCGUCCUCAGAGGUGAGGAAGGUGCUGUCAAGACUAGAAGCAUGUGUCCCUCUCUCCAUUGCAAGAUGGGACAUAGAGAGGAGAAAAGUGGCAGACAGAAGGUUGGUAGAAAGCAGGUGUCACCAUACUGCUGUACACACAAACUGUUAGGCCUAGAUUUUGCUUUCUCCUUCUUGCUUUAAGCCUCUAUCUAGUUUCCCAAAUCCUGCUGCUUUUGCGUCAAUGGUAGGAAAAUAUUAGCCAUGAUAACCCUUCAAACACCCUUAUAAGGCUGUGAAUUGAAUGUACCAAGGGAGGUAACUUUAUUGGAGUUGUCUCUGAUAAGGGACAACUCCAAUAAAAUUAAGUAAAAAUAUUAAGAUUAUUGUUGAUCUUGAGCCAAGAAAAUGCAGGGGAAACAAUGGAAAAAUACCUUUAAAUAAUGAAAACAAAAAUAAAAUAAGAGCUGGUCUACUCACUACUUCAUCCCAUCUCGUCUGUAAAAUAAUACCAUCAGAAAAGUGUUCAAAAUUCUCUGUAGUCAAGGACUUCUCCUGCUGGUUAGAAUGCAAAAUAAUAUGAAAGACUUUUGAUCCUCUAGUAAUAUACAAGUGUAUAUAUAUUUUUUGAGACAGGGUCUUGCUUUGUUGUCUAAACUGGAAUGCAGUGGUAUGAUAUUGUCUCACUGCAGUCUCUGCCUCCUAGGCUCAAGCAAUCCUCCUGCCUCAGCCUCCCAAGUAGCUGGCACUAUAGGCAUAUGCCACCAUGCCUGGCUAAUUUUUUUAUUUUUUUGUAAAAACAGAGUUUUGCCAUGUUGCCCAGGCUGGUCUUGAGUUCCUGGGCUCAUGUGAUCCACCUGCCUUGGUCUCCCAAAGUGCUGGGAUUACAAGCAUGAGCCAGCACACUCAGCCUACAUUUUUCAAUAUGCAUGAAAUUAUAUGGUUUGGAUGUGCUCAUUUUACUAUAUUAAAGUAUAUUUCAAUAAAAAGCCAGUAGGCAUGAAAACAUAAUAUUCUUUCAUUUUUGUCUUCAUCUGAAGUUUCAAGUUAAAAAGCAGGUUAUUCAGUAAAAGAAAAUUGCAAUGUUCUUCUCCAGUGCCAAUUAACCAAUCUCCUCAGACAGAAAUAUCUUCAGAUGGUGCUAAUGCAAAUCUCAAUUUAAAAUCAUUUUAGAAGACUGAGACCAUGCCCACAAAUGCUUCAGAAUGGGAGGUGCCAAGACUUUCAAUCACACAAAACCCUGGCACUUACUUUGUUGUGUUAUAAUCCAGUCUUUCUGCACCUAAGCUUCCUUCAUAAAAGACAAUCCAGCAUCAUGGUUAAAACACAGACUUUCUACCACUACUACUUACAUUCUUGGUGACAGUGGGCAAUUUAGCAGACUUCUCUGUGUUUUAGUUUCCUCAACUUUAAAAUGGGCACUGUUAUAGGUAUAAUUGUGUCCUACAAAAAGAUGUUGAAGUCCUAACCUCCAAUACAUGUGAAUAUGACCUUAUUUAGAAAUAGAGUCUUUACAGAUGAUCAAUUUAAGAUGCGGUCAUUAGGGCAGGUCCUAAUCCAAUAUGACUAGUGUCCUUAUAAUAAGGGAAAUUUGGACUCCAGAGAUAGAUAUAUACCAAUGAGAGACAAUGUGACACAGGGACCACACCUACAAAUCAAGGAACAUCUGAGGCUACCAGAAGUUAGGAGAGAGGUCCAGAACAGUGCCACAUAGCCCUCAGAAGGAAUCAACUCUACCAGCACCUUGAUUUUGGGCUUUUAGCCUCCAGAACUGUGAGGCAAUAAAUUUCCGUUCUUUAAGCCACCCAGUUGUUGGUACUUUAUUAUGGCAGCCCUAGGAAAUUAACAUAGGGAAUGAUAUGGUUUGGCUGUGUCCCCACCCAAAUCUCAUCUUGAAUUAUAGCUCCCAUAAUUCCCACAUGUUGUGCGAGGGACCCAGUAGGAGAAAAUUGAAUCAUGGGGGCAGUUUCCCCCAUACUGUUCUCGUGGUAGUGAAUAAGUCUCACAAGGUCUGAUGGUUUUAUAAGGGGAAACACCUUUGGCUUAGCUCUCUGAUUCUCUCUUGCUGCCUCCAUGUAAGAAAUGUCUUUCACCUUCCACCAUGAUUGUAAGGUCUCCCCAGCCACCUGGAACUGAGUCCAUUAAACAUAUUUUUCUUCCCAGUCUUAGGUAUGUCUUUAUCAGCAGCAUGAAAAUGGACUAAUACAGGGACCAAUGAUUGCAUCUACCUCAUGGACUUUUUAUGAGAAUUGACUGAUUUAAUAAAUGUAAAAGACUUAGAACACUGCCUCAUCUAUUGUAAACAGUCAAUAAAUAUUAGUAUCAAUUUUCAUUGAAUCCUAAUCAGUAUAACUAUAAUGUUACAUUCAUGAAUAAGACAAAGGCUGGGACAAAAUAAAUGAGACACUUCACUCAGACCUCUUCAUUGUUUUCCCAGUUGUCAUCCUUUGCACCUAGUUCUGUAAUUAAGAGAGUCUUCUCAGCUUUUUCUUAAAUCAUGUAUUUUCCUCUAGUAUGGCAACUUUAUAAUAUGUUUCCCCCACUUGAAAAUGUUUCCUCCUUUUUCCCACAGUCCAAUCCCCCCAUUAACCCAACCAUCUCUCACAUACAUACCAAUUUUAGGUCCCAAAUCUCUCAGAUCUCACCCUAUUCACAAACCAAAACUUUAUCAGAAAGAUCUAAAACACUUCCCCCAAAGGCAUUUUUAAUCACCAAUAAGGUGUUCUCACUUUCAAGGAUAGUAUAAUGUGAAUGGACAUCAAAGUCUUAAGAUCAAGAAUAUACUCUACUAUUAAAGAGUUCUAACCAUAAGCUAGUGGUUAAUACAGUUUUAGAGGGAAGAGGAUAAGGAAAGCAGACAUUGUCUUUCCUCUUUCCUAAACUUUUCCCAGGUCUAGAUCUACCUCCUAUCAAUUUUGCUACUUUGGUAAACAAACUCUUGGCAUAAAUUCUACCAAAGCACACUUUGGUCUUUAACUUUCAUAGUAGAAGGGAUAGAACAAGUAUCUCUCACCUAACAGAAAUCCACUUAAUGGAAUUUAAAAUCAAAGAAUGUGAUUGAUCCACCAAUUAUUUAAAUACCAACUUGAGUAUACUGAAUGUAAACUUCCAGUGCUGCCAUGUGGACUCUGCCAUCUUGUCCCUACUGCAUGCAGGUCCCUUAUCUAUCAAUGGCUUAGAAAUGACCAAACUCUUAACAAUCAGAACUUUGCAAAUCUUAAAUAAAAACUGUUUUACAAACACCCCAAGACACAUUACAAAUCAAGAAAACUGAAAAUCAUUUUAUAGAAUGCAUAACCCUCAUGGUCCCAGCAGAAAACAGGUGGCAUGCUAAAAUUGGGCAAUUUAAGGAGGAUUUAAUUAAAGAACUAUUUGUAAAGAUGUGGGCAAGAUAUAUGGGAAACAUGAAGGAUGAUGCAGAGCCAGGGGUUAGUAACUAUGAAGUGCUUCUACCACCUGUAGCCUGAGGGGCAAGGUAAGAGAAUGUUUAUCAGAAACCAGAUGGAGAGAAUUGUGUAGACAGGAUUCCCUUACCGACACUAUGAUCUUCAGCCAGGAUGCAACAAGCUCCUGGAAACUCCAAAGGUAAGAUAAACAUCCUGACCUCUGUCUCCUCCCUACUCACUAUGAAGUAUAUCCCGUAGGCUAAUCUCAACUGGAAACCAGAAGGCUAGAAAUCUUACUGAUGUGAUGUCCAGGGAUACAGAGCAUAUGAAGGAUGCAGAGAGUGGGUCAAAUGGAAGGAAUGUAGCAAAACAUGUAAACUUGGUUCUCUUGAUGACUAUUACGAAG
rnacentral:lncRNA from 1 species